GAGUUUGAUCCUGGCUCAGGAUGAACGCUAGCGGCAGGCCUAACACAUGCAAGUCGAGGGGUAACAGAGAGAAGCUUGCUUCUCUGCUGACGACCGGCGAACGGGUGCGUAACACGUAUGCAACCUACCCUUAACAGGGGGAUAGCCCAGAGAAAUCUGGAUUAAUACCCCAUAACAUUGCAAAUUCGCAUGUUUUUGCAAUUAAAACUCCGGUGGUUAAGGAUGGGCAUGCGGGACAUUAGUUAGUUGGUGAGGUAACGGCUCACCAAGACCACGAUGUCUAGGGGUUCUGAGAGGAAGAUCCCCCACACUGGUACUGAGACACGGACCAGACUCCUACGGGAGGCAGCAGUGAGGAAUAUUGCGCAAUGGACGAAAGUCUGACGCAGCCAUGCCGCGUGAAGGAAGACUGCCCUAUGGGUUGUAAACUUCUUUUAUAUGCCAAGAAACCCCCGGACGUGUCCGGGGCUGACGGUAGCAUAUGAAUAAGCACCGGCUAACUCCGUGCCAGCAGCCGCGGUAAUACGGAGGGUGCAAGCGUUAUCCGGAUU
rnacentral:rRNA from 1 species